UACGAAGGGGGCUAGCGUUGCUCGGAAUCACUGGGCGUAAAGCGCACGUAGGCGGGCUAUCAAGUCUGGGGUGAAAUGCCGCGGCUCAACCGUGGAACUGCCUCAGAUACUGACGGCCUCGAGGGAGAUAGGGGCAUGCGGAACUGUAGGUGGAGCGGUGAAAUGCGUUGAUAUCUACAGGAACUCCGGUGGCGAAAGCGGCGUGCUGGAUCUCUUCUGACGCUGAGGCUCGAAAGCCAGGGGAGCAAACGGG
rnacentral:rRNA from 1 species